rnacentral:rRNA from 1 species
AGAGUUGAUCCUGGCUAGGACGAACGCUGGCGGCGUGCCUAACACAUGCAAGUCGAGCGAGGAGAUCCUUCGGGAUGAUCCUAGCGGCGGACGGGUGAGUAACACGUGGGCAACCUGCCUCAUAGAGAGGAAUAGCCUUCCGAAAGGGAGAUUAAUACCUCAUAACAUUGCAGUUUCGCAUGAAACAGCAAUUAAAGGAGCAAUCCGCUAUGAGAUGGGCCCGCGGCGCAUUAGCUAGUUGGUGAGGUAACGGCUCACCAAGGCGACGAUGCGUAGCCGACCUGAGAGGGUGAUCGGCCACAUUGGGACUGAGACACGGCCCAGACUCCUACGGGAGGCAGCAGUGGGGAAUAUUGCACAAUGGGGGAAACCCUGAUGCCAGCAACGCCGCGUGAGUGAUGACGGCCUUCGGGUUGUAAAGCUCUGUCUUCAGGGACGAUAAUGACGGUACCUGAGGAGGAAGCCACGGCUAACUACGUGCCAGCCGCCGC